AAAUGACUCUCGGCAACGGAUAUCUCGGCUCUUGCAUCGAUGAAGAACGUAGCGAAAUGCGAUACUUGGUGUGAAUUGCAGAAUCCCGUGAACCAUCGAGUCUUUGAACGCAAGUUGCGCCCGAAGCCGUUAGGUUGAGGGCACGCCUGCCUGGGUGUCACAC
rnacentral:rRNA from 1 species